GUGUUACAAAUUAUUUAAUGAUGUUUCUGUACUUUAAUUUCUCUGUUAUUUUAUUGAUCUUUGAUGGGAAGAUAUUCUGUUACGUUUGUGUUGAUAUUUUCGUUGUAAUUUUCGCUCAAAGUAUGUACAUUAGCGCCAUUAAUGUCCGCGAUCGUUAUGAAGUUAACAGGUGCUAACGAGCCUAUUGUGUCGCAGGAAUGCCGUUCGCUUCGACCCCUUGCAGUGUGCCUCAUUGUGUCCGCCCUGUCAGAUAUAAGAAGUUGGGGUUGGGGUUGAUGAUCCACAUGAUGGUGAUGGACCAGGACAGCUCUGGACCUCCUGACUGGCAGCUCCAUCCUCAACCUCCCUUCCUGUCCUUCACACAUGUGCAGGCAGAGAGGCAGUUUUCUGAAGGAUGGUUAAUGUCAGUACCAACAUGUUGUGAUGGAGGCUUCCACCUGAGCUGAACACAGAAACUUGCACACAGUGAUGGAAGCAGUCGUUCCUGUUCAGCAUUGAUAUGCCGGUAAUGGGUUUGAUGAACCACAGCAUGGUGAUGGGCAAUCAGCAUCAGGACCAGGGCCGCUCACAAGGAGAACCUCCUGCCUUGCCUCUUCAUCCUCAACCUCCAAUCUUCCUGCUCUUCACACAUGUGCAGGCACAGAGCCAGUUUUCAGAGGGAGGGCUGAUGACACCAGCAACUUCGGAUCUGAACCUGAUCAACCCAGCACCAACCACUGUGCCGCUUCUCCUCUGCCAACUGCACCACAUGGCUCCACCAUCUCAAAAAGGCACAGACACUACUCCACUUCCUGCGAAGGAUGAGAGAAGAGCCGACCUCCCCACAACGGCACUCACCACCUUCUACAGGGGUGUCAUUGAGAGCAUCCUGACCAGCAGCCUCUCUGUCUGGCAUGGCAGCCGUCAAGCUGAAGACUAGAAGGCAGUACAGAGAGUGGUGAGGACAGCAGAAAAGCUCAUAAGAUCACCCCUACCUGUUCUCCCUACUACCAUCAGGGAAGCGCUAGCCCAGCAUGCGGUGCUGCAAAAGCACACUGGGAAACGGCUUCUUUCCACAAGCCAUCAGACUCCUCAACGCACUGAAGAAAACCACAUGAAUAACCAAGGACGCGGGAGAAUAUUCCAUGAACACUUCUUUCACCAUGCCACUUACACUUUACUCAUUGCACCUUGUAUACAGCAUCUUCACAUCACCUGUAUGAACUUCUCCUGCCGUGUGUGUGUGUGUCCACUGUGUUUGUGUAUUUAUUGUCCAUCAGUAUGUUAAUCUUAUUAUUGCACACUGUUUGGG